rnacentral:lncRNA from 10 species
CAACUAGAUACAGAGCAGGGCUGCAGAUCUAGAUGGCAGGUAUGUUUAUGCUGCAUGGGGAGCUAUGGCCGCUCUGGAAAUAGUGAUGGGCUUGUUUUGCAGUGCUGUCGAGCAUGUGUGAGUGAGGUGUGAGUUAGCUUCUGCACGUGAGAGCCCAGAGUUGUCUUCCUGUGUGUAUUUAUUCACGGUACUGAAACAUUCGAAGGACAAUGGGAGAACAUGAUUCCCCUCGUGUUCCUCCCAGAUAGCCUGGUUUGGAACAUUAGCAUGUAUUGGAAAGUAAGUUGAAGCCACAUACUUUGGCAGUUUGGGGGGUAUCAGCAAUUUCAUUUGGUCCAUUAUGGUGUAGAGAAAGCUCAUGAGUCUGGGCAUCAGCUUAUGUGACUUCUAACCCUGCUCCGCCAUGAGCUACCUGUGUGAUAUUGGGCAAAUCUCUCUGCUACUUGGUUUACCCAUGUUAUUAGUUUAGACUCUAAACUGGAAUGGAUGAACAUCUUCCUGGCUAAAACCCAGUGACU